UCCAAAAAAGUACAUAAAGGACUACAACACAAGACAUGGAUCACUAAACACAAGGAGGACAUAAGGAUAACUUAUAACAGAAUAAACACGGGGAGGAACCAAGGCAUGAAACACAAGCGAUGCCUUCCAGCUCCUGCUUGGGGAUCCCGAGGCGCUGCCAAGCCAGGUGGGACAUAUAAUCCCUCCAGCGAGCUCUUGGUCUACCCCGGGGGGCCUCAUCCCAGUAGGAUGUGCCAGGAACACAUCCAAAGGGAGGUGCGCAGGAGGCAUCCUUAAUCAAAGCCUGAACCAUCUCAGCUGAGGUUUGGACCUGGGCGUGCUGAUCCCCGGCGGCAUAGACCGGUUCUUGGGAAGGAGUCAGUUCCAACACAUCAAUCUGAAAUUAAAACUCUUGACACACA